GAAAGGGUUGUGACUCAGUGGCAGGGCAGUUGCUUAGUAUGCAGAAGGUCAAAGGUUCAAUCCCUGGCAUUUUCA
rnacentral:tRNA from 1 species